rnacentral:rRNA from 1 species
UUGAACGCUGGCGGCAUGCUUUACACAUGCAAGUCGAACGGUAGAGGGCUUCGGCCCUUGCGAGUGGCGAACGGGUGAGUAAUGCAUCGGAACAUACCCAGUCGUGGGGGAUAACGUAGCGAAAGUUACGCUAAUACCGCAUACGUCCUGAGGGAGAAAGCGGGGGAUGGCAAGACCUCGAGCGAUUGGAGUGGCCGAUGUCAGAUUAGCUAGUUGGUGAGGUAAAGGCUCACCAAGGCGACGAUCCGUAGCUGGUCUGAGAGGACGACCAGCCACACUGGAACUGAGACACGGUCCAGACUCCUACGGGAGGCAGCAGUGGGGAAUUUUGGACAAUGGGGGCAACCCUGAUCCAGCCAUUCCGCGUGAGUGAAGAAGGCCUUCGGGUUGUAAAACUCUUUCGGCAGGAACGAAACGGUGAGCGCUAACAUAGCGUGCUAAUGACGGUACCUGAAGAAGAAGCACCGGCUAACUACGU